UUUGCAUGUCUAUGCGAGCGUCCUAUCAGC
rnacentral:piRNA from 1 species